rnacentral:rRNA from 1 species
CAGUCGCCGCGGGAAUACGUAGGUGGCGAGCGUUGUCCGGAAUUAUUGGGCGUAAAGGGAGCGCAGGCGGACAUAUAAGUCCAUCUUAAAAGUGCGGGGCUCAACCCCGUGAGGGGAUGGAAACUGUAUGCCUUGAGUGCAGGAGAGGAAAGCGGAAUUCCCAGUGUGGCGGUGAAAUGCGUAGAUAUUGGGAGGAACACCAGUGGCGAAGGCGGCUUUCUGGACUGCAACUGACGCUGAGGCUCGAAAGCCAGGGGAGCGAACGGGAUUAGAUACCCCCGUAGUCCCUGUCUCUUAUACA